AAGGCUUUGUGCUUGCUACUUAGAAUUGCAACAGACAUGGGAGAUUAGCACUACAGCCCUGCACAAGGAUGACAUGCAAAUUUGUGAAGCAUUCCAUACUUUA